rnacentral:rRNA from 1 species
UACGGGGGGGGCAAGCGUUGUUCGGAAUUACUGGGCGUAAAGGGUUCGUAGGUGGUGCGGUAAGUUGGGAGUGAAAUCUCUGGGCUUAACUCAGGGGCUGCUUUCAAAACUGCCGUGCUCGAGUGCGAGAGAGGUCAGUGGAAUUCCAGGUGUAGCAGUGAAAUGCGUAGAUAUCUGGAGGAACACCGAUGGCGAAGGCAGCCCCCUGGGCCAGCACUGACGCUCAUACACGAAAGCGUGGGGAGCAAACAGG